AAUCACCGGAUAUAGCUGGUUGACAUCGGGUCAAAUCGUAAUAUUGUUUGACGCAAUAUUUUCCCUUUGCGAAUGCAUUUGGUCCCCUUCAACCAGCUGUAGCAGUGAUUGCAA
rnacentral:pre_miRNA from 1 species